rnacentral:lncRNA from 13 species
AAGCUCAGAGAGACAGUGAGACCCAACCCUAACUAACAACUGACAGGCUCAGAGAGACAGUGAGACCCAACCCUAACAAACUACUGACACAGGCUCAGAGAGACAGUGAGACCCAACCCUAACUAACAACUGACAGGCUCAGAGAG